UACGAAGGGGGCUAGCGUUGCUCGGAAUUACUGGGCGUAAAGCGCACGUAGGCGGCUUCUUAAGUCAGGGGUGAAAUCCCUGGGCUCAACCCAGGAACUGCACUCGAAACUACUAUUCUUGAGUGUCGGAGAGGAAGGCGGAAUUCCUGGUGUAGAGGUGAAAUUCGUAGAUAUCAGGAGGAACACCAGUGGCGAAGGCGGCUUUCUGGACGAUAACUGACGCUGAGACGCGAAAGCGUGGGGAGCAAACAGG
rnacentral:rRNA from 1 species